rnacentral:rRNA from 1 species
UACGUAGGGGGCUAGCGUUGUCCGGAAUCAUUGGGCGUAAAGCGCGUGUAGGCGGUCCGGUAAGUCCGCUGUGAAAGUCGGGGGCUCAACCCUCGAAUGCCGGUGGAUACUGUCGGGCUAGAGUGCGGAAGAGGCGAGUGGAAUCCUGGUGUAGCGGUGAAAUGCGCAGAUAUCGAGGAGGAACACCGGUGGCGAAGGCGGGUCUCUGGGCCGAAAUUGACGCUGGAGGAGCGAAAGCGUGGGGAGCGAACAGGA